UACAGAGGUCUCAAGCGUUGUUCGGAAUCACUGGGCGUAAAGGGUGCGUAGGCGGUGCGGCAAGUCAGAUGUGAAAUCCCGGGGCUCAACCUCGGAACUGCAUCCGAUACUGCCGGACUUGAGGGCUGGAGAGGUGUAUGGAAUUCAUGGUGGAACAGUGAAAUGCGUGGAUAUCAUGAGGAACGCUAAUGGCGUAGGCAGUACACUGGACAGUUCCUGACGGCUGGAGGCACGGAAGGCCCAGGGGAGCAAACGGG
rnacentral:rRNA from 1 species